UGGGGAAUUUUGGACAAUGGGCGAAAGCCUGAUCCAGCCAUGCCGCGUGAGUGAAGAAGGCCUUCGGGUUGUAAAGCUCUUUUAGUCGGAAAGAAAGAGUUGCAAUGAAUAAUUGUGAUUUAUGACGGUACCGACAGAAAAAGCACCGGCUAACUACGUGCCAGCAGCCGCGGUAAUACGUAGGGUGCGAGCGUUAAUCGGAAUUACUGGGCGUAAAGGGUGCGCAGGCGGUCUUGCAAGUCAGAUGUGAAAGCCCCGGGCUUAACCUGGGAAUUGCGUUUGAAACUACAAGGCUAGAGUGCAGCAGAGGGGAGUGGAAUUUCAUGUGUAGCAGUGAAAUGCGUAGAGAUGUGGAAGAACACCGAUGGCGAAGGCAGCUCCCUGGGUUGACACUGACGCUCAUGCACGAAAGCGUGGGGAGCAAACA
rnacentral:rRNA from 1 species